UACGUAGGGGGCAAGCGUUGUCCGGAAUCAUUGGGCGUAAAGCGCGCGUAGGCGGCCCGGUAAGUCCGUUGUGAAAGUCAAAGGCUCAACCUUUGAACGCCGAUGGAUACUGCCGGGCUAGAGUCCGGAAGAGGCGAGUGGAAUUCCUGGUGUAGCGGUGGAAUGCGCAGAUAUCAAGGAGGAACACCAAUAGCGAAGGCCAGCUCGCUGGGACGGUACUGACGCUGAGGCGCGAAAGCGUGGGGAGCGAACAGGA
rnacentral:rRNA from 1 species